GCUGUGGUACAAUGGGUCAGUAAAUCUGGCUGUUAACCAGAAGGUUGGUGGUUCAAGUUCACCCAGGGACG